rnacentral:rRNA from 1 species
UAAGGAAUAUUGGUCAAUGGACGAAAGCCUGACGCAGCGACGCCGCGUGAGUGAUGAAGGCCUUCGGGUUGUAAAGCUCUGUGGGGAGAGAAGAAUAAGUGCGGGCUAAUACUCCGCAUGAUGACGGUAUCUCCUUAGCAAGCACCGGCUAACUCUGUGCCAGCAGCCGCGGUAAGACAGAGGGUGCAAACGUUGUUCGGAAUUACUGGGCGUAAAGCGAGUGUAGGCGGUUUGGUAAGUCGGAUGUGAAAGCCCCGGGCUCAACCCGGGAAGUGCACUCGAUACUGCCAAGCUAGAGUAUCGGAGAGGUUGGUGGAAUUCUCGGUGUAGAGGUGAAAUUCGUAGAUAUCGAGAGGAACACCGGUGGCGAAGGCGGCCAACUGGACGAAUACUGACGCUGAGACUCGAAAGCGUGGGGAGCAAACAGGAUUAGAUACCCAGGUAGUCCCUGAGCGGGCUGGCAAGGCGCAU